GACGAACGCUGGCGGCGUGCCUAAUACAUGCAAGUAGAACGCUGAAGAGAGGAGCUUGCUCUUCUUGGAUGAGUUGCGAACGGGUGAGUAACGCGUAGGUAACCUGCCUUGUAGCGGGGGAUAACUAUUGGAAACGAUAGCUAAUACCGCAUAACAAUGGAUGACACAUGUCAUUUAUUUGAAAGGGGCAAUUGCUCCACUACAAGAUGGACCUGCGUUGUAUUAGCUAGUAGGUGAGGUAAUGGCUCACCUAGGCGACGAUACAUAGCCGACCUGAGAGGGUGAUCGGCCACACUGGGACUGAGACACGGCCCAGACUCCUACGGGAGGCAGCAGUAGGGAAUCUUCGGCAAUGGGGGCGACCCUGACCGAGCAACGCCGCGUGAGUGAAGAAGGUUUUCGGAUCGUAAAGCUCUGUUGUAAGUCAAGAACGGGUGUGAGAGUGGAAAGUUCACACUGUGACGGUAGCUUACCAGAAAGGGACGGCUAACUACGUG
rnacentral:rRNA from 1 species